rnacentral:rRNA from 1 species
GGCUCAGGAUGAACGCUGGCGGCGUGCCUAAUACAUGCAAGUCGAGCGAACAGAUAAGGAGCUUGCUCCUUUGACGUUAGCGGCGGACGGGUGAGUAACACGUGGAUAACCUACCUAUAAGACUGGGAUAACUUCGGGAAACCGGAGCUAAUACCGGAUAACAUAUUGAACCGCAUGGUUCAAUAGUGAAAGGCGGCUUUGCUGUCACUUAUAGAUGGAUCCGCGCCGUAUUAGCUAGUUGGUAAGGUAACGGCUUACCAAGGCAACGAUACGUAGCCGACCUGAGAGGGUGAUCGGCCACACUGGAACUGAGACACGGUCCAGACUCCUACGGGAGGCAGCAGUAGGGAAUCUUCCGCAAUGGGCGAAAGCCUGACGGAGCAACGCCGCGUGAGUGAUGAAGGUCUUCGGAUCGUAAAACUCUGUUAUCAGGGAAGAACAAAUGUGUAAGUAACUGUGCACAUCUUGACGGUACCUGAUCAGAAAGCCACGGCUAACUACGUGCCAGCAG